rnacentral:lncRNA from 1 species
AUGGACGCAGAACUGCACAGUCAGCAGACAAGAACUUUCAAGGCGUAUUGUUGUAAGGCUUACCACGUUGGCAAAUUCAACAGGAACAUUUUGAACUCAGACGGUUCCUUUCACCCAGAAAUCCCACACCGUUUGGUUCCCCACCAACGCUGCGUGCAAAGCCUCUCGCUAGCCCUCCGGGGCUCCAUCAGCCUGCAGCAGCCGGCCGUGGAACGAUGCUGCACGACUCCUAGUCCGGAACUCUCCACCAGGGAAACAAACCCAGCAGGCAUUCAAGACACUCAGGCGAGAAGAAAUGCAUCCCAUCGGAAAAUUUCCAUCGCCAGCAUUUUUUUUUUUUUUAAUUUCCAAGAUAAAUGGGGUUUUACUUAUAAGAAGACCAAGGGCUCCAUUAUCUUUCAAAUACUUUGCGGCUUCCAAGGAGCCGAGAAAAUUGGUCAUGCACCUGGCCAGCUGAUCCAGCCUCAAAAAAUCUUCCGACCUUAA